rnacentral:rRNA from 1 species
AACGAACGCUGGCGGCAGGCUUAACACAUGCAAGUCGAACGCCCUAGUAAUAGGGAGUGGCAGACGGGUGAGUAACGCGUGGGAAUCUACCUAGUUCUACGGAACAACAGUUGGAAACGACUGCUAAUACCGUAUACGCCCUACGGGGGAAAGAUUUAUCGGAAUUAGAUGAGCCCGCGUAAGAUUAGCUAGUUGGUGGGGUAAUGGCCUACCAAGGCGACGAUCUUUAGCUGGUCUGAGAGGAUGAUCAGCCACACUGGGACUGAGACACGGCCCAGACUCCUACGGGAGGCAGCAGUGGGGAAUAUUGGACAAUGGGCGCAAGCCUGAUCCAGCCAUGCCGCGUGAGUGAUGAAGGCCUUAGGGUUGUAAAGCUCUUUCAGUGGGGAAGAUAAUGACGGUACCCACAGAAGAAGCCCCGGCUAACUUCGUGCCAGCAGCCGCGGUAAU